AUUGAACGCUGGCGGCAGGCCUAACACAUGCAAGUCGAACGGUAACAGGAAGCAGCUUGCUGCUUUGCUGACGAGUGGCGGACGGGUGAGUAAUGUCUGGGAAACUGCCUGAUGGAGGGGGAUAACUACUGGAAACGGUAGCUAAUACCGCAUAACGUCGCAAGACCAAAGAGGGGGACCUUAGGGCCUCUUGCCAUCGGAUGUGCCCAGAUGGGAUUAGCUAGUAGGUGGGGUAACGGCUCACCUAGGCGACGAUCCCUAGCUGGUCUGAGAGGAUGACCAGCCACACUGGAACUGAGACACGGUCCAGACUCCUACGGGAGGCAGCAGUGGGGAAUAUUGCACAAUGGGCGCAAGCCUGAUGCAGCCGUGCCGCGUGUAUGAAGAAGGCCUUCGGGUUGUAAAGUACUUUCAGCGGGGAGGAAGGGAGUAAAGUUAAUACCUUGGCUCAUUGACGUUACCCGCAGAAGAAGCACCGGCUAACUCCGUG
rnacentral:rRNA from 1 species